rnacentral:rRNA from 11 species
CAAGGAACUAAGAGUUUAUGGGGGAUACCUUGGCAUUCAGAAGCGAUGAAGGACGUGGUUACCGACGAUAUGCUUCGGGGAGCUGGAAACAAGCUAUGAUCCGGAGGUUUCCGAAUGAGGCAACUUUUUAACUACUUAUUGAAUUCAUAGAUAAGAAAGAGCAAACCUAGAGAAUUGAAACAUCUUAGUACCUAGAGGAAAAGAAAGUAAAAACGAUUCCCUGAGUAGCGGCGAGCGAAACGGGAUUAGCCUAAACUUAAUUAUAAAUUAAGGGUAGUGGGACAAUAAUAAAGAAUUUAAUGGAACGAUUAGAGGAAUAAGUUUGGAAUACUUAACCAUAGAGAGUGAUAGUCUCGUACUCGAAAAUUGAACCAAUUCAAUUGUAUCCCAAGUAGCAUGGAGCACGUGAAAUUCCGUGUGAAUCUGCGAGGACCACCUCGUAAGGCUAAAUAUUCCUGAAUGACCGAUAGUGAAACAGUACCGUGAGGGAAAGGUGAAAAGAACCCCGGGAGGGGAGUGAAAAGAACAUGAAACCAUAAACUUACAAGCAGUAGGAGGACGACUUAACGUCUGACUGCGUGCCUGUUGAAGAAUGAGCCGGCGACUUAUAGUUAGUGGCAGGUUAAAGUAGUGAAUACUGAAGCCAUAGUGAAAGCGAGCCUGAAUAGGGCGUUUGUCACUAGUUAUAGACCCGAACCCGGAUGAUCUAACCAUGGUCAGGUUGAAGCUCAGGUAAUACUGAGUGGAGGACCGAACCGACUGAUGUUGAAAAAUCAGCGGAUGAAUUGUGGUUAGGGGUGAAAUGCCAAUCGAAUUCGGAGCUAGCUGGUUCUCCCCGAAAUGCGUUUUGGCGCAGCGGUAAAUGUUAUAAUCUAGGGGUAAAGCACUGUUACGUAUGCGGGCUGGUAAUUCGGUACCAAAUCGUUGCAAACUAAGAAUACUAGAUGUAUAGUUUACCAGUAAGACUGUGGGGGAUAAGCUCCAUUGUCAAGAGGGAAACAGCCCAGAGCACCAGUUAAGGCCCUUAAAUAAUUACUAAGUGGUAAAGGAGGUGGGAGUGCAUAGACAAUCAGGAGGUUUGCUUAGAAGCAGCAAUCCUUUAAAGAGUGCGUAAUAGCUCACUGAUCGAGUAAACCUGCGCCGAAAAUGUAUGGGACUAAGUAAUUUGCCGAAACUGUGCGAUAUAUAUUUAUAUAUCGGUAGGGGAGCGUUCUGUUGUAGGUCGAAGUAUUAGCGUAAGCGGAUAUGGACGAAGCAGAAGUGAGAAUGUCGGCUUGAGUAACGAAAAUAUAGGUGAGAAUCCUAUACCCCGAAAACCCAAGGUUUCCUCCGGAAGGCUCGUCCGCGGAGGGUAAGUCAGGACCUAAGGCGAGGCUGAAAAGCGUAGUCGAUGGACAACGGGUUAAUAUUCCCGUACCAUUUUUUAUUGAUAUCGAGGGACGGAGAAGGCUAAGCUAGCCGGAUAUUGGUUUUACCGGUUUAAACGUUCGAGAUGUUGAGAAGCGGCGAAAACGCUUUGAGUUGAGACGUGAAUACGAGACACUAAGGUGUUGAAGUAGUGUAUGUCAUACUUCCAAGAAAAGCUUGCACUGUCAUAAAUAAAAAAUGCCUGUACCAUAACCGACACAGGUGGGUAGGUAGAGUAUACUAAGGGGCGCGAGAUAACUCUCUCUAAGGAACUCGGCAAAAUAACUCCGUAACUUCGGGAGAAGGAGUGCCUUAUUUAUAAGGUUGCAAUAACAAGAUCCAAGCAACUGUUUAUCAAAAACACAGGUCUCCGCUAAGUCGUAAGACGAUGUAUGGGGGCUGACGCCUGCCCAGUGCCAGAAGGUUAAAGAAGUUGGUUAGCAAUAGCGAAGCUGGUAACUGAAGCCCUGGUGAACGGCGGCCGUAACUAUAACGGUCCUAAGGUAGCGAAAUUCCUUGUCGGGUAAGUUCCGACCUGCACGAAUGGCGUAACGACUUCUCGACUGUCUCAACCAUAGGCUCGGCGAAAUUGCACUACGAGUAAAGAUGCUCGUUACGCGCGGCAGGACGGAAAGACCCCGGGACCUUCACUACAACUUGAUAUUGGUGCUCGGUUCGGCUUGUGUAGGAUAGGUGGGAGACUGUGAAGCUGGCACGCCAGUGCUGGUGGAGUCGCCGUUGAAAUACCACUCUGGUCGAAUUGGGUGUCUAACCUCGGUCCGUGAUCCGGAUCAGGAACAGUGUCAGGCGGGUAGUUUAACUGGGGCGGUUGCCUCCAAAAAUGUAACGGAGGCGCCCAAAGGUUCCCUCAGCCUGGUUGGCAAUCAGGUGUCGAGUGCAAGUGCACAAGGGAGCUUGACUGUGAGACCGACAGGUCGAGCAGGGACGAAAGUCGGGACUAGUGAUCCGGCACUGGCUUGUGGAAGCGGUGUCGCUCAACGGAUAAAAGGUACCCCGGGGAUAACAGGCUGAUCUUGCCCAAGAGUCCAUAUCGACGGCAAGGUUUGGCACCUCGAUGUCGGCUCGUCGCAUCCUGGGGCUGGAGUAGGUCCCAAGGGUUGGGCUGUUCGCCCAUUAAAGCGGCACGCGAGCUGGGUUUAGAACGUCGUGAGACAGUUCGGUCCCUAUCCGCCGCGCGCGCAGGAGACUUGAGAAGAGCUGUCCCUAGUACGAGAGGACCGGGACGGACGAACCUCUGGUGUGACAGUUGUCCUGCCAAGGGCACUGCUGUUUAGCUACGUUCGGCAGGGAUAACCGCUGAAAGCAUCUAAGCGGGAAGCUCGCUUCGAGAUGAGGUCUCCCACAGGGUCAACCUGGUAAGGCCCCCCACGAGACCAUGGGGUUGAUAGGCCGGAAGUGGAAGCCCUGCAAGGGGUGCAGCUGACCGGUACUAAUAGGCCGAGGGCUUGACC